GGAUGUGAGGGUGAUCUGGCUGCGACAUCUGUCACCCCAUUGAUCAUCAGGGUUGAUUUGGCUGAUCUGGUUGGCUAGGCAGGUGUCCCCUUCCUCCCUCACUGCUCCACGUGUGUCCCUCCUAAAUCUACAAAUUUGGUUGAAGAGGACGACCUUUCCCACUAGAGGAGGACCGGUCUUUGGUCAAGGGUGUACAAGUAGCUGCGAUCCCCUGCUAGAACCUCCCAACAAGCUCUCAAGAACUAGGACAUGUUCCUGACCACAUACCUCGGCUGUAUCAGAGAGUUACAGAGGAGACUGACUCAAGAUUGCCUGUACUCUACAGACUCUCAGUCAGUGGGAAUCUGGCCUUGCUG
rnacentral:snRNA from 1 species